rnacentral:rRNA from 1 species
GAAGCGAACGCAGGGAACUGAAACAUCUAAGUACCUGUAGGAAAGGAAAUCAACCGAGACUCCGAGAGUAGUGGCGAGCGAAAUCGGACCAGCCAAUUUGCGAUUAGAUAAGAACCGGAAGUGUCUGGGAAGGCACAUCAUAGAGGGUGAUAGUCCCGUACGGGUAGAAAGUUUAAUUGUAAGAGAGUAGGGCGGAGCACGAGAAAUUCUGUCUGAAGAUAGGUCGACCACGAUCUAAGGCUAAGUACUACUGAUUGACCGAUAGUGAACCAGUACCGUGAGGGAAAGGUGAAAAGCACCCCGACAAGGGGAGUGAAAGAGAACCUGAAACCGGAUGCCUACAAGCAGUCGGAGGGGCAUUAAGCCCUGACGGCGUACCUUUUGUAUAAUGGGUCAGCGAGUUAGUUUAUGUAGCAAGCAUAAGCCGAUAGGUGGAUGCGUAGCGAAAGCGAGUGUUAAUAGCGCGUUAAGUUACAUGAAUUAGACCCGAAACCGAGUGAUCUAGCCAUGAACAGGUUGAAGGUUGGGUAACACCAACUGGAGGACCGAACCCACUCCCGUUGAAAAGGUAGGGGAUGAUUUGUGGCUAGGGGGGAAAGGCCAAUCAAACUCGGAAAUAGCUGGUUCUCCGCGAAAACUAUUUAGGUAGUGCGGUAGGCGAACACCAUGAGGGGUAGAAUACUGAAAGAGCUAAGGGGGAGCGAUCCUUACUAAACUUUAUCAAACUCCGAAUACUCAUGAGUGAUACUUACCAGACAGACAGUAGGUGCUAAGGUCUAUUGUCGAGAGGGAAAGAGCCCAGACCGUCAACUAAGGUCCCUAAAUUAUGGCUAAGUGGUAAAGGAAGUGGGAUAUCCAAAACAGUCAGGAGGUUGGCUUAGAAGCAGCCAUCCUUUAAAGAAAGCGUAAUAGCUCACUGAUCUAAAUAAGACGUCCUGCGCCGAAGAUGUAACGGGGCUAAAGCCAUAUACCGAAGUUACGGGAUUGUAUUGCAAUAGAUACAAUCGGUAGCGGAGCGUUCUGUAGGCCUGCGAAGGUGAACCGUAAGGUUUGCUGGAGGUAUCAGAAGUGAGAAUGCUGACAUGAGUAGCGAAAAGAAGAGUGAGAGACUCUUCCGCUGAAAGUCCAAGGUUUCCUGCGUAAAGCUAAUCUGCGCAGGGUUAGUCGGCCCCUAAGGCGAGGCAGAGAUGCGUAGCUGAUGGGAACACGGUUAAUAUUCCGUGACCAGUUAGGAAGUGACGGAUACAGUAGUUUGUACAUGCUUAAUGGAUUGUGUGUGCAAGUGAUGUGUCCCGGGAAAUAGCCCUAACGAAGACCGUACCCGAAACCGACACAGGUGGACAGGUAGAGUAUACCAAAGCGCUUGAGAGAACUAUGUUGAAGGAACUAGGCAAAAUGCUUGUGUAACUUCGGGAUAAGCAAGCCCGGUUUUAAGGCAACUUAAGGCCGGGGGCACAUACUAGGGGGUAGCGACUGUUUAACAAAAACACAGGACUCUGCGAAAUUGAAAGAUGAAGUAUAGGGUCUGACGCCUGCCCGGUGCCGGAAGGUUAAGGAGAGAUGUGAGAGCAUUGAACUGAAGCCCCGGUAAACGGCGGCCGUAACUAUAACGGUCCUAAGGUAGCGAAAUUCCUUGUCGGGUAAGUUCCGACCUGCACGAAUGGCGUAACGACUUCCCCGCUGUCUCCAACAUAGGCUCAGCGAAAUUGAAUUCUGAGUUAAGAUGCUCAGUACCCGCGGUUAGACGGAGAGACCCCGUGAACCUUUACUAUAGCUUUGCAGUGGUAUUAGGUAAGACAUGUGUAGGAUAGGUGGGAUGCUAUGAAGGUAGGACGCUAGUUUUACUGGAGCAGACGUUGAAAUACCACCCUUGUGUUAUUUGAUAUCUAACCUACUUCCGUAAACCGGAAGAGGGACCCUGCAUGGUGGGUAGUUUGACUGGGGCGG